rnacentral:rRNA from 1 species
GAUGAACGCUGGCGGCGUGCCUAAUACAUGCCAGUCGAGCGAACAGACGAGGAGCUUGCUCCUCUGACGUUAGCGGCGGACGGGUGAGUAACACGUGGAUAACCUACUUAUAAGACUGGGAUAACUUCGGGAAACCGGAGCUAAUACCGGAUAAUAUAUUGAUCCGCAUGGUUCAAUAGUGAAAGACGGUUUUGCUGUCACUUAUAGAUGGAUCCGCGCCGCAUUAGCUAGUUGGUAAGGUAACGGCUUACCAAGGCGACGAUGCGUAGCCGACCUGAGAGGGUGAUCGGCCACACGGGAGCUGAGACACGGUCCAGACUACUACGGGAGGCAGCAGUAGGGAAUCUUCCGCAAUGGGCGAAAGCCUGACGCAGCAACGCGGCGUGAGUGAUGAAGGUCUUCGGAUCGUAAAGCUCUGUUAUUAGGGAAGAACAAAUGUGUAAGUAACUAUGCACGUCUUGACGGUACCUAAUCAGAAAGCCACGGCUAACUACGUG